UACGUAUGGUGCAAGCGUUAUCCGGAUUUAUUGGGUGUAAAGGGUGCGUAGACGGGAAAGCAAGUUAGUUGUGAAAUCCCUCGGCUUAACUGAGGAACUGCAACUAAAACUACUUUUCUUGAGUGCGGGAGAGGAAAGUGGAAUUCCUAGUGUAGCGGUGAAAUGCGUAGAUAUUAGGAGGAACACCAGUGGCGAAGGCGACUUUCCGGACCGUAACUGACGUUGAGGCACGAAGGUGUGGGGAGCAAAC
rnacentral:rRNA from 1 species